UACAGAGGGGGCAAGCGUUGUUCGGAAUUACUGGGCGUAAAGGGCGCGUAGGCGGCCUGUUAAGUCGAACGUGAAAUCCCUGGGCUCAACCCAGGAACUGCGUCCGAUACUGGCAGGCUUGAAUCCGGGAGAGGGAUGCGGAAUUCCAGGUGUAGCGGUGAAAUGCGUAGAUAUCUGGAGGAACACCGGUGGCGAAGGCGGCAUCCUGGACCGGCAUUGACGCUGAGGCGCGAAAGCCAGGGGAGCGAACGGG
rnacentral:rRNA from 1 species